rnacentral:misc_RNA from 1 species
GCGGGAUAAUACGAAAAACAUCGACGUCGAUCGCUUUAGAAAUCGAUUUCCAAUGGAUUUCUCGGUUCAGCUUUUCUGCUAGAAGGUUUCCGCUCAAGUUUAACACCCGAACACUCUUAAUUCGGUAUCAGACCUUAUCUGAUGGCUGAUGCAAACAGUUACAGUUCUCCAACCAAUCUGCGCAGAGGAGGAAACCGGGGUUCCUGGAGGGGACGAGGCUCUUGGAGUGGCAGAUGGAGAGGUGGUAGAGGCGGCACUUAUUUUAAUCACUAUGGUAACAAAGGAAACCAUGGAAACAGAAAUUUUUCUAACAACCCUUCACAAAAUCAUCGCUCACAACCAAUACUAGUUCAGAGCAAAUUAGCAUUUGCAUCACCUUAUAAAGGAUGGAUUUUGUAUUUUCCAGAAGAAGCUUACGCAGCAGAAUCACCUACUGUGGAAAAAUUAAAAGUUUUCGAGGAAUAUUUUUCAAAAUAUGAACAACUUUAUAACUUGUAUGAUAUUGAAACCCAGAGACAUUUCUCUGUCAGCUUUGCCGAAAUGGCUUCAGAUAACAUAAUCACAACAAGUUACCCUGAUUUUCCAAAAGAACUACGAGAUUCUCCUGAAAAGAUUAUCAAAUGUUUGGGUUUAGCAAUGCAUCAGUUGAUUCUAACCAAACGGAGGGAGGAGCAAGAUUCUUCUGAAGCUGAUAGCUACCUGCCAAUGAUUUAUGCCAGAAUUAAAGAAUGUGAUAAUAUUGUACAAUUGAAAAAUAUCAAGGCUAACUACUAUGGUAAAUUUGUGACAGUCAAAGGAACAGUUGUCAGGGUAGGAAAUGUGAAGCCCCUUUGCACUAAAAUGGAAUUUGAGUGCAAUAGCUGUUCAAAUCUAGAGACUAUUUUGUUGCCUGAUGGUAAAUAUGUUACACCCCAGAAGUGCACUUCAUCAGGAUGUCGUAGUCGAGUGUUCCAUCCAAAACAAAGCUCUCCAAAGACAGAAUCAAUAGACUGGCAAACAAUAAGACUCCAAGAAGUUAUGGGAGAUCAGAAUGAAACUGGUCGAAUUCCUCGAACAAUUGAGUGUGAUCUGACUAAUGACCUUGUGGAUAGCUGUGUUCCCGGAGAUACGGUUUCAAUUGCUGGUAUUGUCAAAGUGAACACUUCUAACGAAGGUCAUCCAAGAAAUAAAGACAAGUGUUUGUUCCUUCUCUACAUCCAAGCUAAUUCCGUAACAAAUCCUAAAGGUAAAACCACCGGUGAAUCAGCAGGUUUAGCUAUGGAUUUUACUAUGAAAGAAUUAUAUGCAAUCCAGGAAAUACACAGCGAGAAACAUCUCUUCAGACUUUUAGUUGGAUCCCUGUGUUCCAGUAUAUGUGGACAUGAGAUGGUCAAAGCAGGCUUGGUUCUUGGUCUUUUUGGAGGAACACAACGUUUUGCAAAUGACAAGGAUUGUGUUGCCAUCCGUGGAGAUCCGCAUAUUUUGAUGGUCGGAGAUCCAGGUUUGGGGAAAAGUCAGAUGCUGCAAGCUGUGAGUAACGUAGCCCCACGAAGUGUAUAUGUCUGCGGAAAUACAACCACUGUGUCAGGUUUAACUGUAACUCUCUGCAAAGAAACGGGCUCAAACGACCAUGCAUUAGAAGCUGGAGCCCUUGUUCUUGCUGACCAAGGAUGUUGCUGUAUUGAUGAAUUUGACAAAAUGAAACAACAGCACCAAGCUCUAUUAGAAGCUAUGGAACAGCAGAGUAUUAGCAUUGCAAAAGCAGGUAUUGUUUGCAGCUUACCUGCCAGAGCUUCCAUAAUUGCGGCUGCUAAUCCUGUGGGAGGACAUUAUUCAAAAGCUAGAACAGUCUCAGAGAAUCUCAAGAUGGGAAAUGCAUUGUUGUCAAGAUUUGAUUUGGUCUUUAUCCUGUUGGACAAACCUGAUGAGGUCAAGGACAACAUGCUGUCAAGCCAUGUUAUGGCAAUGCAUGCUGGCAAAAAAUGGAAAGUAUCACCAUUCUUUACCGUAUCCCAAGACACAUCUUUUGAGGAUCUCUCAAAUAUGACACUACAAGAAAGACUUACUAUACAUCCACAUGAAAAAAUUGAUCUGAUUCCUCCUCAGCUAUUCCGGAAGUAUGUUGGAUAUGCUCGUAAAUAUGUCCACCCAAAGAUUGGAAAAGAAGCUGCUUCUGUUAUACAGAAAUUCUAUCUAGAUUUGCGACGUCAGCAUCAUAGCCGAGAUUCCACACCAAUAACUACCAGACAGCUAGAAUCUCUGAUUCGGCUCACUGAAGCUCGUGCCAGGGCCGAACUUCGAGAAGAAGCGACUAAAGAAGAUGCUGAAGAUGUAAUAGCCAUUAUGAAAUACAGUAUGAAAGAAACUUACUCUGAUGAAUUUGGAAUGUUGGAUUUCCGACGUUCUCAACAUGGAUCAGGAAUGAGCAGCAGGUCACAGCACAAGAAAUUUAUUUCGUUACUUCAACGAAAAGCUGAAAAGACUUACAACUCAAUUUUCACAGUUCAGGAAAUGAAAGAUCUCGCCAAGGAACUCAAUCUCCAGAUGAUAGACUUUGAAGGCUUCCUGACUUCACUGAACAACCAUGGUUACCUCUUGAAGAAAGGCCCAAAAGUCUAUCAGCUCCAAGUUGUGGAUUAUUGAAGCCUUUAAUUACACCCAAUAUCUUGACUGUCUUUAUUUCCAUAGAUAUUGCUCUCAAAUUCUCUGAAAGGAUUUCAACAUACAUCAACCUAUGGAAGUGUGCUGUGCAUGAGAGGACCCGGCAGGACUAG